rnacentral:rRNA from 1 species
GCAUAUCAAUAAGCGGAGGAAAAGAAACCAACAGGGAUUGCCCCCAGUUAACGGCGAAGUGAAGCGGCAACAGCUCAAAUUUGAAAUCUGGCCUUCGGGUCCGAGUUGUAAUUUGUAGAGGAUGCUUUUGGCGCGGUGCCUUCCGAGUUCCCUGGAACGGGACGCCAUAGAGGGUGAGAGCCCCGUCUGGUUGGACACCAAGCCUCUGUAAAGCUCCUUCGACGAGUCGAGUAGUUUGGGAAUGCUGCUCUAAAUGGGAGGUAUAUGUCUUCUAAAGCUAAAUAUUGGCCAGAGACCGAUAGCGCACAAGUAGAGUGAUCGAAAGAUGAAAAGCACUUUGAAAAGAGAGUUAAAUAGCACGUGAAAUUGUUGAAAGGGAAGCGAUUAUGACCAGACUUGGGCUUGGUUGAUCAUCCGGCGUUCUCGCCGGUGCACUCUUCCGGCCCAGGCCAGCAUCAGUUCGCUGCGGGGGAUAAAGGCGUCGGGAAUGUGGCUCCCUCGGGAGUGUUAUAGCCCUUCGUGCAAUGCCCUGCGGUGGACUGAGGACCGCGCUUUAUGCAAGGAUGCUGGCGUAAUGGUCAUCAUCGACCCGUCUUGAAACACGGACCAAGGAGUCGUCUUCGUAUGCGAGUGUUCGGGUGUCAAACCCCUACGCGUAAUGAAAGUGAACGCAGGUGAGAGCUUCGGCGCAUCACCGACCGAUCCUGAUGUUCUCGGAUGGAUUUGAGUAAGAGCAUACGGAGCCGGACCCGAAAGAAGGUGAACUAUGCCUGUAUAGGGUGAAGCCAGAGGAAACUCUGGUGGAGGCUCGCAGCGGUUCUGACGUGCAAAUCGAUCGUCAAAUAUGGGCAUGGGGGGCGAAAGACUAAUCGAACCUUCUAGUAGCUGGUUUCCGCCGA